GAUGCCAUCCAAAAUGCAUACAAUAUACUUGUGCACCAUGGCAUUGACUAUGAAUGCCUAUAAAUAGAAACAGUUAAUUAUAUCUCGAUCAAACCAAAUCAUGGCUAAAGCAAUGCACCUAAGUUUGUGUUUUAUCAUUGGAUUUCUCUUCUUGGUUUUGGUUGUUGAAGCGUACGACCCUGUUGAAUUCGCAAGGUGCGAUUGGAAGGAUACAGUAGUUCCGACCGCGCAAGGAUGUCAUGAGUGUGAUUCUAAAUGUAUAAACGCAAACUCAUUUUUAGUCAGUCACACUGUAUGCGACGAUCGUUAUUUUGAAGGUUUUGUCUACUGCAUAUGUUGCAAGGGAAGGAUAUAAACGUAUGACUACAUGGCUAGCGCUGUAGCAAGCUAUAGGGUCGGUAUG